CGGCUAUGAUGUGAUUAUUGGACGGGUGAAACAUAGAACUGUUAAUAUAGUACAGGAUUUAAUUAGCGGAUACUUAUUGAUGCAAUGCUUGACAUUCUUUUGCACGCCACUCAUGUUUUCAUGUUAAGUUAUUGAAUGGGAUUGUUGGAGUAAAACAUGAGAAACCUAGGUUAACCCUCUAUAUCAUUAACCCGUUAAAUCACCAUAGAAUAGUUUGGAGAUGGUUGAGCCACUAUAAGUAAACAUGGAGAUAAGUAGAGGCUCAGUGCAUGAAUUUAUAUUGUGUGGAUUGCCUAGACCCAAAAGGUGAGAAAUAGGUGAAAGCUUUAAGUUGAGGAUGGUUGUUGAUAUCAAAUGUCUAUAAAAUAAACAUGG
rnacentral:lncRNA from 1 species